UGAGUCUUGAGCCCAACAGCAGCAGCCUGUGUGAGGAGCUGGGUGAGGAUCUUCUUGCUGUGGGUUCACGGCAUAGUUUCACUCCAGCCAGAAGCAGAUGGCCUUCAAGGACUGCAGAACCAAUGUGCUUUCCACGACUUCUGUUCAACUAGUCAGAGAAAACCCUUGGAGUUAGCUAGGCAGGACUUAAGAGUGGUGGAUGAGGUUGUGCUGUUAUUAAUUAGCAUGUUCCAGCAGAUCAGAGCCAGCAGACAGAGCCCCAUUCCUGGCAGUAGGGUGAAUCGGGGCACAGCAUCUGUUGUAGAAGGUUGCUUUGAAGGUGCAGCUGUUCUUUGCGCAUCUCACUCUUCACAGCAAGACUUCCCAUAUUCUCUGGACCCAAGGUGCUGCCAAGAGGAUGGCUGAAUUUCUUCUGAGGUUUUGAAGGAACUCUUCUUCACAUGACUGUCCUAUCCACACGCAGGACUCACCAAGCCACAUAAAGAGGGCUUUGCUUUAGGAACAAACUAACUUACAAGGUGCCAUACUGUUUCCUUGGGGAAUGAGAUUCCUGCUGCAGCACGGAGGGCAUCCCUUCCUGCAGUUAGUGUCAUCAGGGAGAUUCAGUGUGUGAUGGGCAAAAUCAGCACAUGCUGAUGUUGAGAAGAGGACACAGUGCUUCAGCUUUCAUUCAGCAUCACCGUAGCCAACCUGCUUGUCCUCUACGUCAAUAUUUGCAAGCACAGCUACAACCUGCAGGCCAAUGGGCUGUAGAUGACAAACUUGUUUAGACCCAAGGAAGGGAGUGUUCCUUUGAAAUAAAAGGUUUCUGAUAACAGGGUGUCACUGCUGAAAUCUAAAUUAACCUGAUGCAAUUGCCAAGGCUUCCUCACUACAGAAAGAGGUUAAUUAAGCAGCAGUCCCUUCUUCUGUGCAGUGUCAUCUUUGAGUGAAUAAUAACGUGAGUUGGAGACUACAGUGCAUAAUGCCAUUAGGUUUAUUACUCCCGUUUUACGGCUUGCAAUAAAGAAGACUGUUGCAAUUAA